rnacentral:lncRNA from 1 species
CUCCUAUAGCAAAGGCUAAUACCUUAUUUAUUUUAAAUAAAUAUCAUUUAAAAAAAUAUAUUCUAUAGACAACUUUUAAGGUUUAUAGCAAAUUAUUUAAUUUUGGUUACCUCCUAGCCCUAAAAAAUUAAAUAUGCUUUUCAGUUACACGAUUUUCUUUUUCUCUCUACUUUGAUACAUCCCAUUCUCUUCCCCCAUUUCCUGAAAACACGAUGCUCAAUCUCAAAAUUCCUCUCACCCGCAUUAUUAUCUUUUCAUUAUGAACAACUCUUACACCGAAUUGAUGCAUAUAAUGAAGUACCCAAAUUAGCGGUGUUUUAGUGAUAAUGUUAGUACAACUCAUCCAGAAAUUUCAUCCAUUAAAGUGGCUCUAUGCCAUUCGAUUAGAAAAUGUUCCAGGUUUGGCUUUAUUUUUGUUUUGGAAGAUAAUUUGUGUUUGUAUUUGGUUUUGGAAGAACGGAAGAAGAAAAAGAGAUGUCGGCCCUAAGUUGUUGUGUAGACAUUGUUGUUGUUUCCCCUCCUCUCGGCUAUGCCUUCUCGCGGGGUAGCUCUCUUCCCAUGCUGGAGUUCUUUACCUACGGUUUACCUUCAACAAAUUCGCCGAAAAUUAUGAUUUGUUCUUGAACAAAGACGACGUAGUUUGGGGAUGAGAAACUUGAUCUUGUAUAAAUAUAUUUGUGUGGGUCAAAAUACGAACCCCCCAAUAAUUAACGAUAUUAAUUAUUUUAAAAGCCAAAGAAUAAAUUACAAAUGGUGUGAUCACUUGUAAUCAUUAAUAACUCGUGGAUACAGGACGUUAUCAGGGAGGCUACGACAUGUUUAUCAUUGCACGAGCCAUACAUCGGCGUGGUCACAGUUACUUAUCUCCAGUUCAUCCGAUUUAGAGCUAUAAAUAUAAAGAGAAAGAACCUAAAAGGGGACUGCUUCUUCUUCUCUACCACUACUCCCAAAAAAAGGGAACACACAAUAAUACCCCUGCGGUAGGCAUAAAGAACACCAUUGUACGGCUCUGAAUCUCUCUAUGGAGAGGCAGACCAAACUAC